rnacentral:rRNA from 1 species
UACGUAGGGGACGAGCGUUGUCCGGAAUUACUGGGCGUAAAGGGCGCGCAGGCGGUAUAUCAAGUCAGCUGUCAAAGACUGGGGCUCAACCCUGGUAUGCGGUUGAAACUGAUAUGCUGGAGUGCUGUAGAGGCAAGUGGAAUUCCCAGUGUAGCGGUGAAAUGCGUAGAUAUUGGGAAGAACACCGGUGGCGAAGGCGACUUGCUGGGCAGCAACUGACGCUGAGGCGCGAAAGCCAGGGGAGCAAACGGGAUUA